rnacentral:rRNA from 1 species
UACGUAGGGUGCAAGCGUUAAUCGGAAUACUGGCGUAAAGCGUGCGCAGGCGGUUAUGCAAGACAGAUGUGAAAUCCCCGGGCUCAACCCUGGGAACUGCAUUUGUGACUGUAUAGCUAGAGUACGGUAGAGGGGGGAUGGAAUUCCGCGUGUAGCAGUGAAAAUGCGUAGAUAUGCGGAGGAACACCGAUGGCGAAGGCA